rnacentral:rRNA from 1 species
UGAGGAAUCUUGCGCAAUGGGGGAAACCCUGACGCAGCAACGCCGCGUGAGUGAAGAAGGCCUUCGGGUCGUAAAGCUCUGUCAGAUGGGAAGAAAUGGAUGGGGGCUAAUAUCGUCCAUCCUUGACGGUACCAUCAGAGGACGCACCGGCUAACUCCGUGCCAGCAGCCGCGGUAAUACGGGGGGUGCAAGCGUUGUUCGGAAUCAUUGGGCGUAAAGCGUGCGCAGGCGGCUUGGUAAGUCAGAUGUGAAAUCCCUGGGCUUAACCCAGGAAGUGCAUUUGAUACUGCCUCGUUAGAGUACGGGAGAGGAGAGUGGAAUUCCUGGUGUAGAGGUGAAAUUCGUAGAUAGCAGGAGGAACACCGGUGGCGAAGGCGACUUUCUGGCCCGAUACUGACGCUCAGGCGCGAAAGCAUGGGGAGGAAACA